GAUGAACGCUGGCGGCGUGCCUAAUACAUGCAAGUCGAGCGCGAGAGUGAGGAGCUUGCUCCUCAUGAUCGAGCGGCGGACGGGUGAGUAACACGUAGGCAACCUACCCUUGAGAUUGGGAUAACUACCGGAAACGGUAGCUAAUACCGGAUACGACUUUUCCACAUAAGUGGAAUGGUUAAAAGGCGGAUCUAUCUGUCGCUAAUGGAUGGGCCUGCGGUGCAUUAGCUAGUUGGUGAGGUAGUGGGUCACCAAGGCGACGAUGCAUAGCCGACCUGAGAGGGGGAUCGGCCACACUGGGACGGAGACACGGCUCAGACUCCUACGGGAGGCAGCAGUAGGGAAUCUUCCGCAAUGGACGCAAGUCUGACGGAGCAACGCCGCGUGAGUGAUGAAGGGUUUCGGCUCGUAAAACUCUGUUGUUAAGGAAGAACACUUGAGGUAGUAACUGGCCUUGAGAUGACGGUACUUAACCAGAAAGCCACGGCUAACUACGUGCCAGCCGCCGCAGUAA
rnacentral:rRNA from 1 species